rnacentral:rRNA from 1 species
CCUACGGGGGGCUGCAGUGGGGAAUAUUGGACAAUGGGCGAAAGCCUGAUCCAGCCAUGCCGCGUGUGUGAAGAAGGCCUUCGGGUUGUAAAGCACUUUCAGUGGGGAAGAAAGCCUUGGGGCUAAUACCCUCGAGGAAGGACAUCACCCACAGAAGAAGCACCGGCUAACUCCGUGCCAGCAGCCGCGGUAAUACGGAGGGUGCGAGCGUUAAUCGGAAUUACUGGGCGUAAAGCGCGCGUAGGCGGUCUGAUAAGCCGGUUGUGAAAGCCCCGGGCUCAACCUGGGAACGGCAUCCGGAACUGUCAGGCUAGAGUGCAGGAGAGGAAGGUAGAAUUCCCGGUGUAGCGGUGAAAUGCGUAGAGAUCGGGAGGAAUACCAGUGGCGAAGGCGGCCUUCUGGACUGACACUGACGCUGAGGUGCGAAAGCGUGGGUAGCAAACAGGAUUAGAUACCUGGUAGUC